rnacentral:rRNA from 1 species
UACGAAGGGGGCUAGCGUUGCUCGGAAUCACUGGGCGUAAAGCGCACGUAGGCGGCUUCUUAAGUCAGGGGUGAAAUCCUGGAGCUCAACUCCAGAACUGCCUUUGAUACUGAGGAGCUUGAGUCCGGGAGAGGUGAGUGGAACUGCGAGUGUAGAGGUGAAAUUCGUAGAUAUUACGCAAGAACACCAGUGGCGAAGGCGGCUC